UGUUUGCUUAGACAUUUUUCACUUCAUCAAAGAUCCCUUAAGCUGGACUUUUUUUGGACCAAGUUGAGGCAAGCCCCCGGAACAUGGCCCAGACCUACUCCACUCUGAAAUUCUUACAGACACCUACUCGGGGGUCCAUAUUGUUUGUGCAUCGAGUAGUAUAGCUGGCUGGUGGGUUCUCUUUCACCCGGAACGUGCAACAAGUGCCGCAGCAGGCAGCAGUCAGCAGGUGCUACCAACUAUAGGAGAUCACGCCUUCUUUCGGUGUGUGUGACCAAAAAUAUGGAUCAUGCUUCUUGUUGGAUCACUUAGGUUAAUGAGUAUCUCGUCUAGCCAUGCAAAUUGUGAACCGAAUUGAAAAUCAAAGCCUGAACUUGAGGCACAGCCCACUCGGAACCACAACAGCCCCUUUGGGGCU